rnacentral:misc_RNA from 1 species
AAGUCGUAACAAGGUUUCCGUAGGUGAACCUGCGGAAGGAUCAUUAGCGUAAUUCUGGUUGAAAAACCGAGGAUUUCCACACUUGUGUUUUAAGCAAAAGGUUUUCAAAGUGUUCUCUUGUUUUUCUUUACUGGAAAAGGGAGACACGAGGAAUUUUUUGCGAACUCAAAAACUGUCUCUUUUUUCUUUUCUGUUUGAUUACAGAGGGAGAAGGACGGUAUAAACUUUUUUAUUAUCAAUAAUAAAUAAAAACUUUCAACAACGGAUCUCUUGGUUCUG